CCCCUCUCAGGAUCAGACCUGGAGAGUUUCCAGUACUCUACUAGUCUCAGCUAUGGGAGGAAGAGUCAAUCAGAGGCAUACCUAUUCCAUUCCUAGCUUGGACAGUUGCUAGUGAGUGGAAGGCAAUCUGCUUCAAGU